UAAAACAAUUGUUAUGACUUUCUCUCCCUUCGAGAUUCAGAAAGGAGUUACAAAUUUUCUGAAAAUAUGUGUUUACUUUAUUCUAUCUUCUGGCAUGACGUGUGUUGGGACGGAGCUUGUUAAAGAUGCUGCCAAAAUUCCUAAAGGUAAUACCGUGAACCAUCAAACGGUAUGUGAAAUUAAAGUUUUUUUCCUUUAUCUGUCAUUUAAUUAGUUUUAUAUCUCUUCUCUUAGCAAUUGGGAGAAAUUGUUUUUUUGCUUAUGUAUUGAGUUACUAAAACAGAAAGAUGAUGAUAUGAUAAGUGAAGAACA